GAACGCACCUUGCACCCUUUGGUAUUCCGAAGGGUAUGCUCGUUUGAGUGUCAUUGUACUCUCACACUCUCUGAUCCUUUGGAUUCAGAAAGUGGUGGACUUGGGUGUUUGCUGCUUUCCUGGUGGCUCACCUCAAAUGCGUUAGUGCACCUCUUGGUUGGACAUAGUACGGCGUGAUAAGUAUCUUCGCCGGCACCUCGCAAGAGGGUGGCCGAUUGGGAGCUCUGUGCUUUCAAACCGUCUUCGGACAAUCUCUGACAACUUGACCUCAAAUCGAGUAGGACUACCCGCUGAACUUAAG
rnacentral:misc_RNA from 1 species